GCCCGGAUGGCGGAAUUGGUAGACGCGCUGGUCUCAAACACCAGUGGGCUUAGCCCAUGCCGGUUCGACCCCGGCUCCGGGUA
rnacentral:tRNA from 1 species